rnacentral:SRP_RNA from 1 species
UCGUGCUAGGUGGGGAGGUAGCGGUGCCCUGUACUCGCAAUCCGCUCUAGCGAGACUGAACUCCUCCGAGAGGGCGCGUGCCUGAUGCCUCUGUCGGUGGUAUCCGAUGUUGAGAGUUGGGUCCUGCGCGGCGGAUGGCCGCGAAUCCCGUCAGAUCCGGAAGGAAGCAGCGGUAAGGGGUAUAUUCCGGGUGCCGUAGGUCAGCCUGGCUCGAGUCGGUUUCACCUGAUACGCUGAAGGCAGCGAACGAACGGGGGUGCACGG